rnacentral:lncRNA from 1 species
AUGAUCCUAAAAAGGAGGAUCAUACACAGAUCUGUAAGUAACUGGAAGUUUGUGUUGACUUCGCCACAUACCUGUCCACUUCCUGUGCUUAAGUGUACAUGUCCAUAUACACAUUCACAUGUGAACAUCUAAGGGUAUAUGUGUAUCUAUAUAUACCCCCAGGAGUGGCCAGAUCUAUAUUUAUAUAUUAGGGCCUGGCUCUUUAAAAUGGGGGAUAAUGAUGCUGAAAAUUCUCUAAGCUUUCCAAAGACAUAAAUGACCAAACUGCCUCCUGACUCCUGAAUUACAUUACCCAGAAAGAACUUAAUAACAUGUUAUUAUCGCUUCUCCUCACUGACAGGAUUUCAGGGCUGAAAAGACAAACAAGAAGUACGCUCGUAAUCACCAGCACAUUCACCUCGGCCAAGCCACGGCCACUGCUAAUUCCAGCUCUCCAAGAAGGGUAACCUGUGGAAAACCACCCCAUUUCACAGCAGGGGAAGCAGAGGCUCAGAGACCAAAGCAACCUGCCCAGUGAUAACAGAAUUAGGAUGAUGGGCCUGACCUCCAGCUGCCCGGCCCAGUGGAGGCAACACUUGCCCCUGUCCGGAGAAUAUGGUCCAGGACAAAGGUAUGAAAGAGACCAGAUCCUACUCUGGAUA